CGAAAGAGGAUCCAUCCAUCCAUCUUGCAGACCCGCCUACCCGCGCCCUGAGAGAAUCAGAGGCCGUUACGCAUGGGGCAGAGAUUUGAUUCCCUCGUACGUCCGUAUCAGCGUGGCAGGGACAGGUGGUCUACUGAUACUCGUUCUAUUGGCACGUCACUAGCAGACAAAAGGAAACCUAUAAAAGGAGAAAUACUCUCUUUUAGGUUUAAGUUUUUUCUAAGUUUUACAGAUCCCAUUAUAAAAACCUUAUUUCUCUGGAUCUCAGAUCAUCAAUUGGCGCCGUCUGUGGGAACGAAGGAGAUCUUUUCAUCACUGGAGUUCCACUCUUAACAAAACCCAUUGAGAUCCACGAUGGCUAAUCACAACGAAAACAACCUUAACACCCCAAAUGAUCUAAGCUCUGCCCAAGAGGGGCAGCAGUUCUCCUUUUCUAGCCCUACAACACUAAACAACCAAACACCCGUUCCUCUCAAUCCCUCGCCAAGUUUGGCAGGGAAUGCUCCCACCGCUACCUUAUCUAACCAGGACCUUCAAACCAUGGCCCUCCAACUACAGAAUACCGCCCACUGGUUGGGGCAGAUAAUGCAACAAAGGGGCCUCAGCACCCCGAUAAAUACACUCCCAGUGGUAGAAGAACCCCAAACCAAUGAGCCCCAACCUACCCUUGAUCGCCUUCAAACCAGCAGCCGCGGCGCCGGGGAAAGGGAGAGAAGAGCCGGAGAAGAGGAAGAGCCGGAGGCCCGAGUCCACGGAAGAAGGGCGAGGGAGAUGAUAGAAAAUGAGGAGGCUGACAACUAUUCCGCCGGGACAACCAGGUGGACCAGGAGUGAAGCAGAGGAAGAGGAAUAUCGCCUGGAGAAAAAGCCCAGGCCGGAAGAUGGAGAUGUGGACCAAAAACUGCAGAAGUUGAGAGAGCAGCUUUUGGUCGAGCUGGGAAAGAAAGAUCAAAGCCAAACCUUCCUGCCCACUUCUUCGCCUUUCUCGAAGUGAGUGCAGCAGGAAACUGUCCCUAAGAAGUUUAUGAUGCCAUCAAUGGCAGCCUACAACGGAGCUGGUAACCCGAGGGAGCACGUCAUGAAUUACAAGACCUUCAUGGAAUUGUAAACUUUAUCGGAUGCCUUGAUGUGCAAGGUAUUCCCAACGACACUUUCAGGGCCAGCGCGAGCGUGGUUCAACAGCCUGGAGACUGGAAGCAUUGGGAGUUUUGGAGACCUGGCCACUCGUUUCAUCAGCCGGUUCAUCGCCGGGGUGCCAGUGGAUAGGAAGACGAGCUAUCUGGAAACAGUAAGGCAGAGACGGGAGGAAUCACUUAGAGAGUACGUAGCUCGUUUUAAUACAGAAGCCCUGCAGAUUCCCGAGCUUGAUGAAGGAAGGGCGGUGGAGGCCAUGCAGAAGGGGACGACCUCCGCCGAGUUUUUCUGUUCAUUAAGUAGGAAGCCUCCGACCUCACUGGCCGAGCUAAUGAAGAGGGCUGAGAAGUAUAUAAGACAGGAUGACGCUCUGGUGACAAGCUGAUUCGCCAAGGGAACGGCAGGCAAGGAGAAAGCCCCGGAGGAAAGAAGGCCGGAGAAGCAUGAAAAGAAACAUGGCAAAAGGUCUGAGCCUUACAGACAUCCUUGGGAGCGAAGGGACCAAAGACCUUUUCCCCCUCGGUCCUCAGAACAAAGGCCACUCCCUUCAUGGGUUCCGGAGAAGCCGACCCCACUUAAUGCCUCUAGAGCCGAAGUGCUCGUAGCUGUCCAGGAUAAAGAAUUCUUGUAAUGGCCCAAGCCCCUGAAAUCGAAAGCCGACCAGCGAAAUCCUGACAAAUAUUGUCAGUUCCACCGAACUCAUGGUCACGACACCAGCAACUGUUUCCAGUUGAUUGCAGAAAUUGAGAGGUUAAUAAAGAGAGGGCACCUAAAGAAUUUUGUAAAGAAACCGGAAGGACAGAGACCUCAACCCAAUCUGGCAGCCCAAACGCCAAGAACAGGAGCUAACAUUGUGAAUGACGGGUCCAGUGGAACUAUCAACAUGAUCGUAGGAGGCACGGGAGGUCGGAUGAGCCGAAGGGGGAAAAAGAGAAGCAGAGAAGGAGAAACUAGCAGUGCUGAGGUCAUGCAAAUCGUUGAACACUCUUCAACAACCAUCACUUUCUCCUCGGAGGACGCUCAGGGUGUUCAGAUGCCUCACGAUGACGCCCUUGUCAUUGAAGCUGUUAUUCACAACUACCGGGUAAAGAAAAUCUUGGUAGAUGACGGAAGCAAGGUAAACCUGUUGCCUUAUCGAGUCUUCCAGCAGAUGGGAAUUCCUGAAGAGCAACUGGUUCGGGAUCAAGCCCCGAUUAAAGGGAUUGGAGGAGCACCGGUGACGGUAGAAGGGAAAGUAAAACUAGCCCUUACUUUGGGAGAGGCUCCGAGGGCUCGCACCCAUUAUGCGGUGUUCUUGGUGGCUAAACUCUCCCUGAGUUACAACGCGAUUCUGGGAUGACCUGUGCUGUUCGACUUUGAGGCUGUCACCAGUAUCAGAUAUCUGGCGAUGAAGUUCCCAACAGAAGCAGGAGUAGGGAUAGUUCGGGGAAGCCAAGAAGAAGCAAGGGCAGUAUACCUGGCUACGGUGGCAGAGCCGAGCAUAACAGAGGAAGGGCUGGACUCGGAAGUCUUAGAGGUCAGGGAUGAAAAAAUGGAGGCCAGGACAGAGCCAGUAGGAGAACUGGAGACUUUUCCAUUGUUAGAAAUGGAAACAGAUAAGGUCUUUAGUCUUAAUGCCGGCCUGACAAAAGAGCAGAAAACCGAGGUCAUGACUCUAGUCUGAAGUCACGCACCAAGCUUCGCCUGGAAGCCUUCUGACAUGCCCGGAAUUGAUCCCGAAGUGAUGACACAUAAGCUGAAUGUCCUCCCCGAAUCCAAACCAGUAAAGCAGAAGAAGAGGGUGGUAGGAAGGGAAAAGCAACAGGCUACAAGGGAGGAAGUACAGAAGUUAGAAGAGGUAGGCUUCAUUAGGGAGGUCAUGUACCCACAGUGGUUAGCUAUUCCUGUAUUAGUCAAAAAAGCCAAUGGCAAAUAUAGGAUGUGCAUAGAUUUCACUGACUUGAAUCAUGCUUGCCCCAAAGAUUGUUACCCCCUCCCUGAUAUUAAUAAAAUGAUAGAUUCUACGGCCGGUUUUGAUUAUAUGUCGUCUUUGGACGCAAUGUCUGGUUAUCAUCAAAUCCCAAUGGAUAGGUCGGAUGAAGAAAAAACCUCGUUCAUAACAGAAGAUGGGACUUAUUGCUAUAGAGCCAUGCCUUUCGGAUUGAAAAACGCCGGGGCAACUUACCAAAGACUGAUGAACAAAAUCUUCAAAGAGCAGAUCGGCAGGAACGUAGAAGUUUAUGUAGACGAUAUGGUGGUCAAGAGCCUAACUUUCCAACAGCACGUGGUAGAUUUGAAGGAGGUGUUUAGAGUAUUAGAUCAGUACAGAAUGAAGCUGAAUCCAGCAAAGUGCGCUUUCUUCAUCAGAGGAGGAAAAUUCCUGGGAUACAUGGUGAGUGGGAAAGGCAUCGAGCCCAAUCCGGAGAAAGUAGAAGCCAUACUAAAUAUGUCAGAACCAACCUGUGUAAGGGACGUCCAGAAACUGACUGGAAGAGUAGUGGCACUCAAUCGAUUCAUGUCACGGUCGGCAGAAAAAUGUUUACCGUUCUUCAGAAAGUUGAGGAAAGUGCCAAACUUCGAAUGGACAGAAGAUUGUCGUGAAGCCUUCAAAGAACUCAAAAGUUAUCUCAGCUCGCCUUAUGUGCUUAGCAGCCCCAUAGAAGGUGAAGAACUUCUGAUAUACCUGGCAGCCUCUGAACAAGCAGUUAGUGCCGUAUUGGUAAGGGUGGAAGAAGGGGAGCAGAAGCCUGUUUUCUAUGUCAGCAAGGUGCUUAAAGAUGCUGAGGUCAGAUAUCUGAAUAUUGAGAAAAUAACGUAUGCUCUAUUGUUGGCAGUCCGGAAGUUCAGGGUUUACUUAGAAAGCCACCAAGGAGUAGUGAUGACGGAUCAACCAUUGAAGAAGAUUCUGCAUAGACCAGAGACCUCAGGUCGGAUGCUCGCAUGGUCCCUCGAGAUCAGCCCUUACUGCCUAGAGUACCGACCUCGAACAGCUAUAAAAUCUCAAGCCCUUGCCGAUUUCAUGGCAGAAUUCACGUUCAGUAAGGAACAAGGGGAAUCAUCUUCAGAAGCAUCAAGGAAGGAGAGGAAAGAAGAACUCUUCCAAAAGUUCAACUGGAAGUUAUAUGUGGACGGGGCUUCAGGCGCCGGAGGCAGCGGUGCAGGAAUAAUGCUUAAGGGGCCUGGAGACUUUAAGGUUUGCUACGCCCUGUGCUUAGGAUUCCAGGCUUCCAAUAAUGCGGCGGAGUAUGAAGCCCUAAUAAAUGGAAUGAUGGUGGCAAUGGAGGUAGGGGCAACCGACCUCGAAGUAAAUAGCGACUCACAACUGGUGGUCAAUCAGAUUACUGGGGCAUAUCAGGCUAGGGAUCCAACCAUGCAGAGUUAUCUGGCAAAAGUAAAAGCAAUAGAGGCCGAGUUCAUAGAUCAGGGAGUUACCAUCAAAUUCCAAAGAAUACCACAAGAAGAAAAUGAGGAAGCAGACCUGCUUAGCCGGUUGUCUAAAGAAGAACUAGAACAACUUCCUAACGAAGUGUACAUACAAUACGUCCUUACGCCCGCUUUUAGUAAAACAAGUACGGUGCUACAGGUGGAACAAAGCCCAACUUGGAUGACCCCAUACAUAGAAUACCUAGAGAAGGGAAAGCUCCCCGAGGAUAACGACGAGGCCAGAAAGAUAGCAACUCGUGCCGCCAACUAUCAAACAGUAAGGGGGACCUUGUACAGAAAAGGGAAGUCCAGCCCAUGGCUCCGGUGUGUGAGCCCGGAGGAGGCUAUAAGGGUGAUGGAAGAGAUACACAGGGGAAUAUGUGGAGCUCACGAAGGGGCAGGGACCUUAGCCAAUAAAAUAUUCAGGCAAGGAUACUACUGGCCCACUGUCAAAAGGGAAGCAGAAGAGUUCGUCAGAAGGUGUGACAUAUGCCAAAGAUUUGUUAAUGCCAUCAGAGUCCCAGCCACUCCUCAAGCCAGCAUAUCCAGUCCAUGGCCAUUCUCACAAUGGGGAAUAGAUAUCCUGGGACCCUUCCCCAAGACCACGGGACAGAGGAAAUUCGUAGUAGUGGCUGUAGAAUACUUCUUAAAAUGGCCAGAGGCAGAAGCAAUAGCCACGAUCACAGCUCGCAAGAUGAUAGACUUUGUAUGGGGAAACAUCAUCUGCAGAUUUGGCAUACCAAGAGUGCUUAUCUCAUACAAUGGCAGACAGUUCGACUGUAGUACUUUCAAAGCAUUUACAGCAAACAUGGGCAUAUGGCACAAAUUCUCCUCCGUGGCCCAUCCCCAGACUAAUGGCCAAACAGAGGUUAUUAAUAGAGCUAUCCUCCAAGGAUUAAAAAAAUGGCUGGAUGGAGCAAAGGCGAACUGGGCAGAAGAGCUCAACAGUAUCCUGUGGGCACUCCGGACUACCCCCAGGACGCCUACUAAAGAAACACCUUUUGCACUUGCCUACGGCACAGAGGCUGUAGUCCCAGUGGAGUUGCAAAUCCCCACUCAUCGAGUCCAAUUCGUUAGUGAAAAUACUAAUGAUGACGAGUUAAGAAGUAACUUGGAUGCUCUCGAAGAAAUCAGAGAAGAAACUCAAGUCCGAACUGCCGCUUAUCAACAACAGGCAGCACGAUAUUACAACCAAAAAGUCAGAGAAAGAAGCUUGAAAGUAGGAGACAUAGCCUUGAGAAACCUGGAGGCUACGGGAAAAAGAGUCGCAAUGGGUAAGUUGGCAUCGACCUGGGAGGGCCCAUUCAGAAUAACAAAAGUGGUCAGGCCGGGAGUAUACCAAAUUGAAGAUAUGCAGGGAAACCCUGAGCCCCAUGCUUGGAAUAUCCAACACUUGAAGAGGUAUUUCCCUUGAAAUAUUUGUAAAGAAAAAUAUUAUACUCUGAAAAACACAACUGAAUAAAAUGACGCCAUUCUUUAUACGAUAAUGUUAUUUCUAUUAUGAAUGUCACUUUUCAAAAGGAAAAACAGAAUACGAAGACCCUGUAGUAGAGAAACCUCAGGGGUAGAAGACCGGGAUCCCCUAGACCUCCCGGGAAAACAAAGAAGACCGGGAUCCCUAAGAACUCCCGGGAAAACAAAACAAAAACGGCCGGUGAGGAUCUUAAAAGACCUCCCGGAGCAUGAAGACCAGGAUCCCCUAGAACUCCCGGGAAAACAAAGAAGACCGGGAUCCCCCAAAACUCCCGGGAAAACAAAGAAGACAAAUCCUAAAUUACUGAUGAAAAAUCAAAUUCCGACCUCCCGAAGGAGCUCGGGGCACAAUAGCCAAGAGCGUCACAGCCCCAGGCCAAUCUCCAAAGGCGAGCUCGGUACAACAUUAACCUCACAAAUCAACUUCUAGUGCUGAACUAGCUAGCCUAGAAAGAGGUCCGAACCGCAAAGCGUCCGGACAAUGCUCAGAAGUGUAGGACGCGCUGCAGAUUGUAGGUAUAAAAGCCUAAGCAAAAAGCAAAGAACCGAUCUCCCAGCUCGGAUAGACUCGCGAUAUGUGACAUUCAGAAGGAUAGAUACAGGCAAAAGAUCGUGUUCCUAGCUCGAGCCAAUUGGUCAUAAGCAAACAUUUAACAAGAACAACCCAAACAAAAAGAAGAAACGACAAAAGCCGACCUCCCCGUCCCAGUGGAGCACGCAGAAAGGCAAGGACCAGACAGCCGCCCUUACGACUAAAAAGGCAAAGUAAAAUCGCCUAAGGGAAGGCCAUGCGAGCACAAAUAAAAUACAGAGAUUCACUCCCUCGCUACUCAUGUAAUAAAUAUUGAGGAAGUAAAGGGGCAAUCCGAGGGAAAUCCAAUGGUAUGAAACAGAGAAUACCUCAGCUCCAAUCCCCGUCAAGACAGAACUAAAGGAAAAAAUCAGCCCUGUUAUUUACCAUUAAAAGGUACGUGACCUGAAAACCGAGCUCAUGGCUAGAAAUAAUCCAGCUCGACUAAGUUCAGAUAGGAAAAGCUCAUGAACAAAAUUUCUUAGUGAAAUAUCUUAGUCAAAUAUAAAUCACGAGAUAUGAAGAUUAAGUGCUCCAGUUACGAUAAGAAAAGAUAAGUUCAAGAAUGAAAUAAAAGCAACAAUAGUUCAAGUAAAAGAAAUUAAACUUUCAUUAGAAGAAGAAGAUAGUACAACUUAUUUAUCUGCUGAAUUUGAAGGAAAAACAGUCCUCAAGGGACUUACAUCUCUCAGAAUGUCAUCACCUAUAGUAUCUUUAUCUAUGUUUACAUCCAGAGGAGAUCUGGCACCCUCCAACCCUGGGCCAGGGUCUCCCUCCUCAGGCUCGGGGUCUUCGCCUUCAGUCCUGAAGUCCUCCAUAUUGUCCCCCUGUUGCUCGGACUCUUCCCCGAAAGACCCAGCCGCAAUGCGAGAGGUUCCUCUAGGCAAGGGGAAAUCAUCUUCCCCAUAAAGAACAUCCUCGCCAUCAGAAUCCACUUCUCUAGCUUGAAGUUUUGCCAGCGGAGUAUCAGGAGCACGUCUGGCUUCUCUUAAACCCCUAUUGUAGCCAGACCUGAACAUGCGAAAGGCUUUCUGCCAGAUAGCAGUCUUCAUCUCCGCAGAGGCUUUAUACUCGUCCAGAUGCAACUCGUAGGCCUCAGCUAUAACCGCCUUCAAUUUAGAAGAAUCCUUAUAGUCUUGGAGGUGAGCUUCACAGGCCUGCUCAAUCUUUCCUUUCAGCUCAUCCGACUCCUGAUACUCCUCCAGACGCCUCUCGCACUCCCGCUGGAUCUUCUCCUCAGAAUGUUUAACCACCUUGAGCAGGGCUGAACAUUUACGCUCUAAAGCCCUGACUUCAUGGCUAAGCUGUUGGUUACGAAGCGUAGACUCCUCGGUCGAUGAAGCCAGGUCUCUGAUACGCUCAGAACUCGUGCUCAGCUCCUGCUCAAGGAUCUCCACCCGAACCAAGGCCCUCUCCUUUUGAAUAUUCACCUUAUUUAGGUGAACUUGAAGCCCUUCAAAAUCAGCCUUCAGGGCCUCAUACUGGCGCUGGACCUCCUCCCUCUGGCUUAUCGCCUCAUCCCUUUCACGAAGGGUCUCCACCAGGGAGGACAGCUGCUUCAAAACUUCUUCACUUCGAAUCUCUGCUGCAGCCGCCCUCUCAUCAGACUCCUUGAGAACCCUGCGAGUAUGAGACAACUCUGCCUCCAGGGACUUGGUAUGCUCUUGUGCCUCAGCUGUCCUCUCGUCGGCUCUUUUGAGGGCCUCCAAGGCAGAAUGCAGAUUCGCUUGGAGGGACUCAGUAUGAGCUCGAGCUGUUGUAAGGUUGCCCCUGGCAUCACUAGUUGCAGACAAAUUCUCCUCCAGACGCGCCUCCUCUAUCCGGCGGUCCACAGAUUCCCGGAGAGAGUGAUCACGGGCAUCCACCUCCAUGAAGAGGCCCAUCACCUAAAACAAAGGAAAAAACUAUUAAAACAAAGAAAACCAUAAUAAAAGCAAAGGAGGUAGCUUAGCUUACCAUCAGGAGCAUCUCCCUGAUCAUAUCUCCGAGUUCCCCGCGAGGUCGGGAACGGAACGCUGCUUGCUCCCUAGUAGAGCUGGCCAAAAGACCAGUGAGAGCAAGCAAGCGCGGAUCCGAAGCCUCCAAGAUGCCACCGAACAUCCGUUCCUUGACAAUCUCAGCAACCACGCUAGCCGGGGAUUGAUGAGUGAUAUCCUCUGCGUUCAGAAUGUCGUUAUCAGGAGCAGACAGUAGUGGUAUCACAUGGACUUCUUUCUCUUUCCCAAUAGGAGGGAGAGCUGGAGCUGAUCCCUUAGAAGCUUUGGAUCUCUUUUGAGCUGGAGCUGGAGCUGGGGAUGGCACUUUGAGGUAGGCAGGACGUUUGUCCCCUACCUUCUCUAUGACAUCCUCGUCCUUGGCAAGGUCGGACCUCACCUCUUCAGGGACAUCUCUAGUAGGAACCUUCGGGACACUAUCGUCAACAAGAACGAUCUCCAGUCCUGUCCCAGGAGCCUCCUCUUCAAUAAUAGGGGAUUCAAGCCUCCCCCCUGGUGCCUCCUCAACAGGAAGAGCAAGAUGCGUCCUCAUCUGUCCAAUAUCCCCUGCCUGCUUCACAACAGUUAGGGGAGCUCCCUCCACAUCCUCCGUAGAACCCUGACCAGAUUUAGCCUCCUGAACAGGUUUCAAGGCAGGGGCCGACCUGCCAUGACGAGAUGACCGAGAGGGUCUGGCACCAUGGGAGCUCGACUUUGGAGCCCGAGAAGGAGCUCUAGCAAGAGGCCGGCUAAUCUUCUUGGUAGAAACAACCCGAGCCACCUCUGCAGCGACCUCAGGCACGGGGCGCCCAGCCAGGAAGGCAUCUAAAGCAGCGUUCAUACUCUCCCGAGACAGAACUAAGUUCUUUGGGGGCUUGAUCUCAUCCAUUUUAACGUUAGAAGCUGCCAAAAAACACAAAGUCAGAAAGAGUUAGCGUACUUUCUAAUGUCACUUACGAGGAAAAGCGGAGUUGCUAAACAAGGCAUUAUACCCGUGUCCCGGAUAUCCCUAAGAUUAGACACGAACAUACAUCUCUCGACGUCAUACUUCUUGUCAACAGAAGUCAGUCGGAGAUACCCCACCUGCUCGGUGAGGCUUAGUUGGGGCAGGUCGUUGAUGCCCGGGGGGACAUCCUCCCAGUCUAGCCUCACUCCCCACGACACGUCGACAUCUUUUCUCAGCUCCGCCACAAGGAAAUUCUCUACCCAUCCCUUUAUUGAAUCCUUGUAGCCCGUGAAAAGAGACAAUCCACCACGGGGGGAAAAAUAGUAAAAUUUCUGAGUCGCCCUAACAAGGCGGAAGAAAGUGACAAAUAGACACGCUGUGGAUGUAAAACCCCAACUCAGGCAAAUGGAUUCAAAACAAGCCAUAAACAAAAUGGAGUUCGGGGACAACAUCCGGGGGGUUAUCCCAAAAUAUUGGAAAACCUCGAUGAAGAAAGGGGUGAAAGGGAAGGUCAGACCGAAAUCCCUCUGUUUAAGAAAGAAGACUAUGCGAAGACCCCUCUGGGGAUCUACCAAACCAGGAGGGGAAGGUUUUGGAAGAACUAUCCUUUCAUUCCGGAGAGGAGCGCGAAUAAGGUAAAGAGGAGUAUCUAAAUAACUUCGAGAAAUAUACUUGGUUAUGGAAGAAGGAGUAAUGUGCGACUCGAGAUUGGCAACAUCGGGAAGUUUAGAAUCCUCCAUGGAAGAGUAAAAGAGCGUACCUGAAAAGCAAUAAGGUCGAGAAGGCAGAAGAAGUCGAAGGAAAACAGAGAGCAGAUGAGAACAAGUUUCUUCAAGAGACAAAGAGAAUUCGGAAGGAAAGGCAAUAAUGAAACGAAGUGUCACUCUGAACAAUUUUGUCUUGGAGCGGCGCGGUCAUUAAUUACUCUCGAAGUUUACCCCCUCAUCAGUUAUACAAUAACUGACGAGAAGGUAAAGGGGCAAUAACCGACGGCCGCUGGACUUCGCCACCUCUAUUAAGGGUUGGGCCCACGGCAAUAGCCCAUCAUCCGAAAGCAAUUGACGGCCGCUGGAUUCUCCUCACCUGGUCUAGGGCCAAGCCCAUGGCAAUAGCCUGUCACCCAAAAGCCCACAUGCCAUCUACAUAGAACAAAUCCAACUCGCUCAAACCUUAAGACCGGGCUCCACUUGGACCUCUCACCCAAUGAUAGAGACCAGCCCUGCUCAUUACCUAAGAAGGUCAGAAGCUCGGCUCACAAGUUAAAAACAGAGCUCAGGGUUACGACAGAUCCAGCUCGAAAAAAGAUAAAUAAAAAGCUCAAAGACACAAGCAGAUGGAAGCAUGAUAAAGACCAGCCUUGCUCAUUACCUAAGAAGGAAGCUCGGCUCACAGGUUAAAAACAGAGCUCAGAGUUACGACUGAUCCAGAUCGGAAAAAGAUAAAUAAAAAGCUCAAAGACACAAGCAGAUGGAAGCAUGAUAAAGACCAGCCCUGCUUAUUACCUAAGAAGGUCAAGAGCUCGGCUCACAGGUUAAAAAUCGAGCCCACGAGUACGACUAGUCCAGCUCGGAAAAAAGUAAGUCAAAAGCUCAGUUGGCUGAAUGAACUCUAGUUCUGAACGAUUAAAGGGGCAAGAAGGAGAAAGCAAUACAGCAGAUCCCUUGGGAAAAGUUACGGAGCAAGCAAUCUAAGUACUUCAGUUAUGAUGAAGAAAGAACAGUUCGAGUAUGAACGCAAAACAAAAAUUUCAUUAAAAGAAAAACACAUUACAACAUGUCACAAAUACCAACACUAUGGGAUAAAAGGCUAUCCUUAAAGGAUUUACAUGCCCAGAUACAUCAUCAUCUACGUUUACAUCACUAUCGCCUACCCCACUAUCCUAGUUUUCGAUUUUAGAAGAAUCUCGUAGUUCGGAAGAUGAGCUUCGCAGGUCGGCUGAGCUCCGUCUCGUUAUUAUAGGAGAACUGAACAAGUCGAUCCCCGUGAGCACCAUUCACUGUUCCAUCAUAGAUAGGCGUUCUGAAGAGCAAUGGAACAAGUGAAUGUUGCAAGCCUACACCCAAGUGUGAUGCACGAUACACUCAUGUAUACCCAGGAAAAUCAGCGAAACAUUCUGAAGAGCAAUGGAACAAGUUAAACUUUCAAUAUCGUAAAACAUAUGCGGAAAGGCAUCAUCAGGGGAUAGGGCAGGCUUUGAUCCUGUUGACCUGAAGUUCUCGAUCGAUCUCAAAGUCCGAGAGGACCCAAAAGUUCGAACAAUUGAAGCAGUUGAGAUUGACUUGACACUGGUGUAUAGCCUUGAAGAUUCGGAACCUCGAGAGCUCGGCAUGGAAGCCCGAGCUGGGGUGAUGGAAGAGCAAACCAUACCCCUUCUCUAAAUCGAAAAGAGAAAUCUCGCUGUUUUGUUAAUGAUCCCAAGGAUAAGAAGGAAAGGUUAGUAAUAUAUAAUCAGAGGCUGAGCUUUUAAUGUGAAACAGAGCGACUUUAUACUCUAGGCUGGUAGCAUCAGAAUCCUUAAAGGCUAUUCACCAGAAAGGAAAGAGAACGUACCGGGAAGAUAAAAGUAAGAAAGCGAGGGUAACAGUGCGCACAAAAGGUAGAGGAAAGCUAAAUAUAGAAAAAAGAUAGAGAAGAUUUAAAGCUACAAGUGACAAUAAGAUGAAAGGGCAAGCCGAAUUCCAACAGACGCGGUCAUAAUGAUUCUAGGGGUUUACUCCCUCGACAGUUGGAGCAAUAACUGCCAAGAAGGUAAAGGGGCAAUUGAUGACCCUUGAGUUCACCUCAUCUCCGUCUAGGGCCAGGCCCAUGAAAAUAGCCCAUUGCUUAGAGAUCCUCAAGCCACUCACGCCAGCUGGGUCCAGUCCACUAAGCCUCACGAUCGGGUUUAUCUGGCUCUCUCCACCAGGCCGGCCACGUCUUCUCUGCACCUUGGGCCGAUCCCAUUUAGGCCCUGCUUUGUCCCCACUCUCCGGUCCGGCCCAGAACCCGAAAGAGGAUCCAUCCAUCCAUCUUGCAGACCCGCCUACCCGCGCCCUGAGAGAAUCAGAGGCCGUUACGCAUGAGGCAGAGAUUUGAUUCCCUCGUACGUCCGUAUCAGCGUGGCAGGGACAGGUGGUCUACUGAUACUCGUUCUAUUGGCACGUCACUAGUAGACAAAAGGAAACCUAUAAAAGGAGAAAUACUCUCUUCUAGGUUUAA
rnacentral:lncRNA from 1 species